rnacentral:misc_RNA from 1 species
GAUGAAGAACGCAGCGAAAUGCGAUACGUAAUGUGAAUUGCAGAAUUCAGUGAAUCAUCGAAUCUUUGAACGCAUAUUGCGCUCUCUGGUAUUCCGGAGAGCAUGCUUGUUUGAGUAUCAGUAAACACCUCAACUUCCAUAUCUUUUUUUGAAAUGGGAGUUGGACUUGAGUGAUCCCAACGCUUUUCCUCACCGAAAAGUGGCGGGUUACUUGAAAUGCAGGUGCAGCUGGACUUUUCUCUGAGCUAUAAGCAUAUCUAUUUAGUCUGCCUAAAAAACAGAUUAUUACCUUUGCUGCAGCUAACAUAAAGGAGAUUAGUUCUUGUGCUGACUGAUGCAGGAUUCACAAAGACAGCUUCGGCCGACUCUGUAAACUCGAUCUCAAAUCAAGUAAGACUACCCGCUGAACUUAAGCAUAUCAAUAAGCGGAGGA